rnacentral:rRNA from 1 species
GACGAACGCUGGCGGCGUGCUUAACACAUGCAAGUCGAACGGAAAGGCCCUGCUUUUGUGGGGUGCUCGAGUGGCGAACGGGUGAGUAACACGUGAGUAACCUGCCCUUGACUUUGGGAUAACUUCAGGCAACUGGGGCUAAUACCGGAUAGGAGCUCCUGCUGCAUGGUGGGGGUUGGAAAGUUUCGGCGGUUGGGGAUGGACUCGCGGCUUAUCGGCUUGUUGGUGGGGUAGUGGCAUAGCAAGGCUUUGACGGGUAGCCGAGCUGAGAGGGGGACCGGACCCAUCAGGACUGAGAUAAGGCACAGACUCGUACGGUAGGCAACGGUGGGGAAGGUAAUACAAGGGGAUGAGGCCUGGUGCAACAACGCCAUGUGCGGGAAGACGUCAUGCGGGUAGGGAACCGCAGUCGUCUUAGACGAGGCGAGAAUGACGGUAACGGGAGAAUAAGCACCGGCUAACUACGUG